rnacentral:lncRNA from 1 species
GCCAGGAACUAGAAUAUCCACUUGAAGAAGACUGUACUUCCUUUUUAGUACCAUUGCUCGACACCUCAGCAUUUACAUCUAGACCAGAAAAAUCUUCAAAGCUAAUGUUCCAAGGUUCUAUAUAAUUAAUCCCAAGCCAAAACACCUGAGAUCUGGGAAGUACUGGACGCAAAUACGGGGAGUCCGGAAAAUGAGUAUUUGGCAUGGGAAUACCAAAAAUAUAAAAAAUAUUUAAAUUAUACUCCAUUUCACACUCUCAUUUCUUAGCACUCACACACAUUUUAAAAGUGCGUAUCCUUUAUUCUAUACAUGAAUCCACCACAGUAUGCAGUUAACCAAUAAAAAAAUAAAUGGAUCUGAAUAUGGAUUUGACUAAAUCCGAUACAAAAAAAAAAUGAUUUAAAAAGGUCAGAGUCAAAGCAGUGGACUGUAUUAGACAUAUGUGCAUCACAUAUAUACAGAUCUGGACCAGAGAAGAGAUAGCAAAACAAGCAGCAGAGUGAACUCAGACAAGAGAUAACAGUCUGAAAGCGAAGUCACCGUCUCCGCUAGUAGAGUUGGGUAUGUAUCUUUGUAAUAUAAGUUUUGUUUUUUGUUUUAAUGAAUUAUUGCAGAAGCAUGAUGACUUAUUGUUGAACUUUGCAACCAAAGAACCAUGAAAAUGAUUCAAGACUGUCUCAGAGUCAUAUAGAAUAGUUUAAUUAAUAUACAGCAAAGGGGAAUAGUGAUCAGCAAUAGAGAAUCUAAUGUGCUCAUGACACCAAUACAUUUUUACUACUUUAUUACUCUCUCGAUCCUAUUUUUAACUACUUGUUUGGUUCCUGGGAGAAGAAUAGGUUAAAUAAAUUUAUAUGGCUGAAGCAAUUGUGUCGAUUGUUGUGGGAAGGCUCGCUGAUUUGUUGGUUGAAAAACCCCAAACCCUCUAUGAAGUGAGAGAUGAAAUUCAACUAGCGGUCACCGAGCUCACGCGGAUAAAGACAUUCUUACCGGACGCUGAUUCAAGGAUGGAUGUAGAAAGAAUCCGGAUUUUGCUCCGGGAUGUAAGAGAGCUUGCCUAUGAUGCUGAACAUGUUGUCGAAACUUUUGUUAUUAAAGCCUCAUCCACUAAAAAACCAUUUCAGCGGAUGAACAGAGUCAAGUUUUCUAGAAAGAUGAAAAAUAUACAGAAAAAGAUGUCCCUCCUCUUCAAUUUAUUUUCUGAUUAUAAUAUCAUACCAACUUCUGAAUCAACUUCCUCAAAAAGAGAAUCGGGAAAACUUAAGCGAUUUCACUCUUUCACUACUCCUGAACCACAGAUAUUUGUUGGAUUUCAUGAAGAUGUUGAGUGUUUGGUGCGACAUUUGGUGAAUGAAGCUGAUGAUUCAUACCCACUUAUAUCUAUUUGUGGAAUGGGGGGUCUGGGAAAGACCACUCUAGCUCAAAAGAUAUACAAUCACUCUGCCAUCAAGACUCACUUUGCUGGUUUAGCAUGGGUAUCAAUUUCGCAAAAGUGGCAAACAGAUCGCGUGUUGCAGAGAAUUCUCAUAUGUCUCGUCCCUGAGAACAAAGAGUCUAUCCUUAAUAUGGACAGUGACAAGCUAGUCGAGUAUAUGUUAAAAAGCCAGGGAAAGAAAAAAUGUUUGAUAGUUCUCGAUGAUAUAUGGUCAACUGAUAUUUGGAGUGCAUUAAAAGUNNNNNNNNNNNNNNNNNNNNNNNNNNNNNNNNNNNNNNNNNNNNNNNNNNNNNNNNNNNNNNNNNNNNNNNNNNNNNNNNNNNNNNNNNNNNNNNNNNNNNNNNNNNNNNNNNNNNNNNNNNNNNNNNNNNNNNNNNGAUGGAAAAACUGGGAAGGGAAAUGGUUGAACAUUGUGCCGGUCUUCCGCUAGCUAUAGUCGUCUUGGGUGGAAUUCUUGUAACAAAACCAUCGUUGAUAGAGUGGGUGAAGGUAUAUCGUGAUAGUAAAUCAUCCCUGAAGGCGGGGAAAGGACUGGGAGAAGCCUAUCAAAGGGAAAUAUAAGUUUUUUAAUAUGGAGCUACAAUGAUUUACCGCCUCAGCUGAAGCCAUGCUUUCUAUAUUUAUCUAAGUUUAGUGAAGAUGAAUCGAUAGACAUAGAGACUUUGUAUCAGCUAUGGAUCGCAGAAGGAAUGAUACUCUCGAGUGACAAAAGGGAAGGAGAAACAAUGAUACAAGUGGCUGAAUCAUACAUGGGAGAACUAGUCCACAGGAAUAUGGUUCAAGUGAGAUUUAACGAUGUAGAAUCAUCGCUUACAAAGUUUGAAUAUUGUUCUCUGCACGAUCUUAUGAGAGACAUGUCUUUAAUACAAGCAAAAGCAGAAGAUUUUUUUGAAGAAAUACAUUUCCAAAGUGGAAAUGAGUUUCAUCUCAAAUCUACUACAGAGUCAAGGUCAGCUUCCACUCGAGUUGUGAUUCGUUUGGAUGAGGAAUAUUCUAGCAAAGAAGCUAAUUACUACUUUUCCAAGAAACGCAAUCAAAAAUGCUAUCGAUCAAUUUUACUCCUCUGUGAGUUUGGGGCGAGAAGUCUGCCACGGGCACUGGGGUUACAUUUUGCCAAUUUUAGGUUCCUAAAAGUCUUUUCUGUGGAGAAUUAUACCAAUUUUUCUGGUGCAUUUUCUCAUUUUAAUGUUGGAAGAGCAUUAGGGUCCCUUGUUUACUUGAGAUAUCUUAGUGUAAGGGGCAGUAAUUUGUUGGUUUUUCCAUCUCUACAAAAGUUGAUGCUAUUACAAACUCUCAAAUUUGAUACGAAGAAGAAGAUAUAUGUUUUACCAUGGAUGCCAAGAGAUGUUCUGGUCAAGCUGGAUUGUUUGCGGCAUCUGUAUUUGCCUAAAGUUCAAGUUAACCUUAUGGGAAGGGAAUCGAAAUUUCGAUUUAAUGGGUUGAGCAAGUUAGAGACACUGGAGAACUUUAACGCUAGUUGGUGUGAGGUUAAGGAUCUACGUGAACUAAUCAAUCUUCGGAAACUAACGCUAGCAGUGAUAGCUAGCUAUGAUAUUCUGGAGGAAAUGAUGAAAAACUUGGCUGAUAUAGCCUCAUCACCAUCUUCAUGUCUGAGGUACUUGGGUGUUACUAUUAGUCAUUGUCAUCUCGAGCUGAACAAUGGUCUUACGAUCUUAAAACAAUUGGUAUAUGCUGAAAAUUUGAACCUUCGGGAUUUGAAAAUAUAUGGCCCUAUCCCAGAGGUGGGUCUAAUAUUUCCGCUGCAUGUAUCUACAAUUCGUAUUACAAAAUUAACUUUAGCGAGAUCACACCUAGAAGAAGACCCAAUGCCAAUACUGGAAAUGCUUCCAAUGUUGGAUGUUCUCCAUAUGUGUACGGAUACCUAUGUGGGGAAGGAGAUGGUGUGCUCGGCAACCGGUUUUCCUAAACUCACCUAUCUUUUUUUGGACAGCUUCCCGAACCUUGAAAAAUGGAGGGUGGAGGAAGGAAGCAUGCCCAUCCUUUUAUACUUGUCUAUUGAAAGAUGUAACAAGUUGGAGGAGCUUCCACGAGGCCUGGUGUUCCUCAACUCCCUUCGAGUACUAAAAAUAUUUCAAAUGCCUCAAGAUUUCAAUGAUAGACUUAUAAGAGAAGAUGAAGAAGGACCCGACUUUCACAAAAUUUCUCACGUUCGUAGAGUCCGCAUCGACGAUCUGGUAUACGAUUUCUUAUAAGGGAUGUUCUUGUAGGUCGUAACGUUUUCUGUUAUAAUCCCAAAGAACAAAUUGCUUGAGUAGCAACUUAUCAAACAAUCUUAUAUAUACCUUUAUCUUCAAAAAAAAAAUCUUAAAUAUACCUUCAAAAUUUUAUAAUAUUUUAUUAAAAUUUUCAUUUUCAAUCAUAGUUUUGUAUGAUUAAUGUAGUUUUUAAUAUAAAAGAGUUAAAAAAUACUUUUACAUAUAACUGAAUCCAAUUUUCAAUAAUAGCGACUGUAAAAAAUAUACUAGCUUAUAACCCGUGCAAUGCACGGGCGGUUAUAAUAUGUGUUAUUAUAUUAUAUAUAUUUUAAAUUUAACUAAUUUUAUUUUGAAAAUUAAAUCAUGAUAUAAUAAUAUGAUUAAAUAAAUUUUUUAUUUAACAACUGAAUAAAUUGUUAGCAGUUAAGUCUUUCAAAUAGCUAAUUAAAAAUUAAGUCGAACAUAUAUAUUUUAAUGAAGAUGUUAAAAUAUAUAUUUUUAUAUGUUAUAAUUUAAUAAGACCUAUAAACCCAGAUAUAUAUCGACCAAUCAAUAUUUCGUUAUUAAUGAUUAAUAAUAUCGUAUAGAAUAUAUUAAUAAGUUAAAGAGACGCGUAAAUCCAAAUAUCGACCUAUCAUACUGACUAAUUUAUAAUAUGUUAUAAAUUAAAGAGGUUCGGGGUUGAAUACCAACCGGAUCGCCAAACUCGACCGACAAAUUGAACUUUUCUUAUUUCGACUAAUGUUUUACUUUUAAUAAUAUAGUAUAGAUAUAUAAUAAUAUUGUCUUUUUUAUAUGUAUGUUCCAUGUGUUAUAUAUGUUUAGAAAAAUCCGAUUUUAGUUAGGAAUGUGAAAAAGAUAAUGUCUUUUAGUUAAAAAGGGUAAUUGCUAUCUUGUCCAAUAUUAUUUUUAGAAAAUUGAGUUUUUUAAGUUAGAAAAUAUAAAAAAGAUAAUAGUAUUAGUUAAAAAAGAUGUUUGAUUAGAUAAAUAGGCUCAUAACUCAGCCCAAGUACCGACCGACCAAACUUUGAAUGUUUCGACUUCAAUAGUAUAGUAAUUUUGAAGUAUUAAUAUAAUUUUUAUAAGCCGCUGCAACGCGCGGCUUCUCAGCUAGUUAUUAUAAAUACAGGAUUCCUUAAACAACUUACAAUGGAAGAUGUAAUAGUUUUAUGAAAAUUAUUAUUAAUAUUAAAAUUAAAACACUAACUUUUAUUAUUUAAAAGUUAAACAACUGCAGGACUCUAAACCUUUAAAAUGUGAAUUAAAAAAAAGUUCACUUUUUUCAACAAAGAAGUUCUGUUGGUGUUGAAUCGAAUUUGAUUGCAAGUUGCCGGAAUUAAUUAAUAAUUACAAUCAUAUUUUCAUAAGACUUUUAAAAAGAUAGUAACUCCAAAAAAUUCUACAAAGAUGGUGUAUCCUUAAUUUUAUACUCUUGGGGCAAAACAAAGUUUUAUAUUCACAACAAGCUAUCAGUUCUAUACAAUUACAAUCAUCAUAUCUAUACUAUAUUAUUGAAACCGAAACAUUAAAAGUUUGGUCGGUCGGUAUUUGAGCCAAAAUACGAGUUUAUCAGUUAUUUUUUAACUAAAAUAUAUCUUCUUUUUAAUAUUUUCUAAAUAAAAAAACUCAAACUUUCAAAAUAACAUCGAGCAACAUAGUAAUUACCUUUUUAACUAAAACAAUUAUCAUUUUUAGAUUUUCUAACUAAAAAGCCGAGCUUCUAUUAUUAACACGGGCUACAUUAACAUUAUUUUAAAAUACUUUAACGGUCUCACUUUAAAAGUAAUAUUAUAAAUCUAUAUUAUACCAUUAAAGCCGAAACAUGAAAAGUUCGGUCGGUCAAUUGUUCGGCCGGUCACUCGAGUUUAGUGAGCCUGUUAGUAUUCGACCCAUAAACAUCUUUAAUUAAUAAAAUAUUAUAAUAUUAAAAACACUCAAUUUCCUAAAAAUAAUAUUAGAUUAUGAAUAACAUAGCAACUACUUUUUAUGAUUAAAACACAUUAUCAUUUUCAUAUUCGUAAUCAAAAAAUCGUUUUUUUAAAAAUAACACAUGCAAUAUACAUAUAAAAAGAUAAUAUUAUUAUAUAUAAUUAUUAAUAUACAACCGAUGAUAUUUUUCAAUAAAAUGCAUUAAUGCUGUUUUUAAUUACUCCAUGUUAUCAUUUCAAAAUAAUAUCAUAGAUCUAUACUAUCUAUUUAUACCCUACUAUGCUAUAUUAUUAUUAUUAUUAUUAUUAUUAUUAUUAUUAUUAUUAUUAUUAUUAUUAUUAUUAUUAUUAUUAUUAUUAUUAUUCUUUUAAAAUUGAAAAAUUAAUAAUUUUAUCGGUCGGUAGAGUUUUAUCAGCCGCUCGUAUUAUUCUACGGGCCUCCUUGAUAUAUAACGUGUUCUAAUAAACUUUUUAUUAUCAAUUAAGUCAAAAAAUAUAAAAAUUCGGUUAGUAUGAUCGAUUUCUGUUUCAAUUAAAUUUAUGAUUUAAACGAUAAAAUUAUAAAUAUUAUAAAUCAACCGUGCAUGGAACGGGUUAUAAACUAGUAUUAAUUAUUAUGAUAGAAUAGUUAUUAUAUUUUAAUAUUGGUCCUGAGAGAUGAAAUUUUUUAUGAAUUUAGAAAAUUAAUCACUUUACAGAAUAUUAAUUUAUAGAAAUUUUACUAUAUUAGGUGUUGAUUUUCUUAUGUUAGAAUAUUAUUUAAUAAACAAGUAGGAUAAUUUAUAAGGAUUGUAUUGGAUUAGGUGCUGAAUUUCUUAUUUUAAUUAUUAUUUAAUAGGUAGGUAGCGUUAUUUGUCGUGGAUGAAAGUGACACAAAUAUUGAUAUGAGUCAUUUUAUAAUUGUUUAGUAAUAUACCGUAGAAUUCCGCCAGCUAAUCGGUUGUUAAACUUUGCUUUUACAUGCCCAUCGUUUAGUAUACAAUGAAUCAAUGAUUGUCAUUUAUUUAGGAAUUAAAUAAUGAAUAACUCACACUUGUUCGGUUUAAUCUCAAAUUAGGGUUUUUCUCAAAAAAAAAAAAAAAAAUCUCAAAUUAGGGUUUUGAGAGUCGACUCCCAAAACUGGUAGUCACUUCUCCAUUCUUCACCUUCAUCCUCUUCAUCCACCAAAUCCUUUUCGCUCUCCCAUCUUAUUCACUAUUUAUCAGGUUUUUUGUUUUUCAAUAAAAGCGAGUGUUGCUUAUACCUCGAAGAUUCCAAUCGAGUUUUAUUCUCGGAUCUGUUUCGGAUUUGAGCUUGGGCUUGAUUGUUUUCUGAAUAAAUCAGAUCUUUUGAAAUCAAAGGUCCGAUCAUGUUUUCCCAUCUCGCCUUUUGGCGUGUGUUGAUUUAGUACCCAAUUUUUGGGUGAUUCUGCGUUGUUACACUUGUGGUUGUUAUGUUUUUCUGUGUUAUCAGUGAGAAUGAUUUGGAUGGAGUUUUGGGAGAUCUAACUUAUCGCAUCAUUAAUACUUUCGGCAUGUCUAUAGCUGGCUCCCGGCAUGUAGAUAGCUGGGGUAUGCUUGGAACGGUGGCGAUCGCAUGUGCUCACCUUUCACAAAUUAUAGUUGUUCAUUAUUCGAGGACUCUUGUUACUCAUUGCUUAGUUUUUACAACUGAGUCGCCUGAACACCGUAACAGCCAUGGAACUAUUGUGAAGGUCAAUUGUGAAGCUACCAUUUUCGCGAUUGAUGUAGGCUGGAUUACUCGAGCCUUUGUAUUCAUUUUUAGUUUCAAUGUAUCCAGUGUGUUAAGCAGUCUGGAAACAAUGCGGCUAUUUGUUUAGCUCGUUUUAUUGUUUAUCAACCUGAUUGCAUUGUCUGUUGGAGAUUUGUCCCGACUAGACUUGUUUUAAUUUAUUGAAAUGAAUUUGCAUUUUGUCAAAAAUAAAUAAAUAAUGAAUAACUCCAUAUACAGGAGUAGGUUAAUAGUAGUAUUAUUCUGUUGAUUCCAUGCAGUUCAACUAUCAGGAAUGUUUGUUUACGAGAAGCUGGGGUUUGCUUCUAACUGCUUCUUUUGACCCGUUUGUGUAAAAAAGUAGAAGCACUUUUGAGAAUGCUAUCUUCUCUCUCACAGCUUCUGUUUAUUUUCCAAACACUUUAUUAACUUAUUUAAUUCUCACUUCUACUCCAUUUCUUUACUAUAAGCAAGAAAUUACAAUUUUUAAGCUAACUCAAACAGGCCCAUCAUUUUCUCUGGUGUAAACUUGACCGGUCUAGCUCGAGUAUAGUCGACCCAAAUUAUUUAUUGUGCUAGCUAUGCUAACACCGACUCUAUAACUAACAAUCCCUGUGGCGGGACGUGACAUCGAUAAAAGUUAGUAAUUAAAUAUUUAUAUAAAAGAAAUUAAAAUUAUAUUAUAAAAAUAUUUUAUAUGAUCUUUAAAAUAUGUGUGUAAAAAAGACAGUAAAUAAAUCAAAGGAACGGAAGGAGUACUAACUACAACUACGGCUAGGGCCCCGGAUGAGACCAUCAGGGUUGCUCUUACCUAAUUAAUAUGCUUCGGCCAAGUGGAAUAGCAGUGAACAAUUAUAGAGAAUAUUCUGAGUGUGCAGAAGAAAGAAACAAGUAUAUGCUGCUUGACUUCUUAUAUUACUGAUUAUUUAAUACGCAAGUAGAGUUAAUAGUUGUUGAUAGAGAUGAUGCAAAAAUUGAUGUUUUGCUUAUGCUGAGUCAUUUCAUCAUUGUUUAUUAGUUAGUUGUAGAAUUAUGAGCUGAUCGGUUGUUAAGCUUUGUUUCUACAUGCUCUUAAUUUGCGAGCUUCAUGCAGUUCAAUUCCUUUAUAUAGGGUUGUUUGGUUUCUGGCAAAGAAUAACAAAUUAAUAUGGCUGAAGCAAUUGUGUCGAUUGUUGUGGGAAGGCUCACUGACUUGUUAAUUGAAAAAGCUCUAAUCCUUCAGGAAGUGAGAGAUGAAAUUGAAGUCGCGGUAGCUGGGCUCGUGCGGAUAAAAACAUUCUUACCAGAUGCUGAUUCAAGGAUGGAUGUAGAAAGAAUCCACAUUUUGCUCCGGGAUGUACGAGAUCUUGCCUAUGAAGCCGAACAUGCUGUUGAAAGUUUUGUUAUUAAAGCCUCAUCCACUAAAAAACCAUUUCAAUGGAUGAACAGAGGCAAGUUUUCAAGGAAGAUGAAAGAUAUACAAAAAAAGAUGUCUAUCUUCUUCGAUUUAUUUUCUGAUUAUAAUAUCAGACCAACUUCUGAAUCAUCAACUUCCUCCAACAGAGAAUCGGGAAAACUAAAGCGAUUUCACUCUUUCACUACUCCUGAACCACAGAUAUUUGUUGGAUUUCAUGAAGAUGUUGAGUGUUUGGUGCGACAUUUGGUGAAUGAAGCUGAUGAUUCAUACCCACUUAUAUCUAUUUGUGGAAUGGGGGGUCUGGGAAAGACCACUCUAGCUCAAAAGAUAUACAAUCACUCUGCCAUCAAGACUCACUUUGCAGCUGGUUUAGCAUGGGUAACAAUCUCGCGGAAGUGGCAAACAGAUCGUGUGUUGCAGAGAAUUCUCAUAUGUCUCGUCCCUGGGAACAAAGAUUCUAUCCUUAAUAUGGACACUGACAAGCUAGUGGAGUAUAUGCUACAAAUCCAGGGAAGGAAAAAAUGUUUGAUAGUUCUCGAUGAUAUAUGGUCAACUGAUGCUUGGGAUGCAUUAAAAGCUGCAUUUCCAGCCGGGAAGUCCAUGAGCAAAUUAAUGCUUACAAGUCGUAAUGCUGAGGUUGCUGAGCAUGUAAAUUUAGACGGAUUCAUUCACAAGCCAGAAUGUCUAAGUCCCGAACAAAGUUGGGAGCUACUCAGGUUGAAAGCACUUCACACAGGAAAUUGUCUAGGUACAUAAUUUUACUUGCGGUAAUCAUGGUUCAUAUACUUUUUUUAUACCAUAUAUUUUGUCCGACAACCUUAACGAACCAUAUUUUUGGUUAUCGGAGUUUGAUAAGUUUGGUUAGAGAUCUUUCCGACAUCCUUAAAGAACAUUGUUCUGUUCAAUAACGUUUUGUUCGUGUUCGUUUGAAUUCGUUAGUUCGUUUACAAACCUGUGUAUUAGAAUUGUAAACGGAUCUAACAGUUCAUUAAGUGCUCUCUUGAGGUUGAGUUAAAAAACUCGAGCUCGAAACACAUAUUUUGUUUAACAACCUUAACAAACUCUAGAAGGUUUAGUAAUUUUUCUCGUGUUGACUCGAAGUUUAUUGGAGUUAAGGUCAUAGAGGGCUCUAACUUGAACCUGUCUUUUAAACAUUUGCAUUACUUAAACGACUAAAUUAGAAAUUAUCUUGGCUUAUGAGUGUAUUCCUAUAUAUACACACACAUUUGAUUCCUGUUUCUUGUUUGUUGCAGACAUUACCAGAGAUGUAAAAAGGAUGGAAGAACUGGGAAGGGAAAUGGUUGAACAUUGUGCUGGUCUUCCGCUAGCUAUAGUCGUUUUGGGUGGAAUUCUUGUAACAAAACCGUCGUUGAGAGAGUGGGAGAAGGUAUAUCGUGAUAGUAAAUCAUCCCUGAAGGCAGGUAAAGGACUGGAUAAAGACUAUCAAAGGGAAAUAUUAAGUUUUUUAAUAUGGAGCUACAAUGAUUUACCGCCUCAGCUGAAGCCAUGCUUUCUAUAUUUAUCUAAGUUUAGUGAAGAUGAAUCGAUAGACAUAGAGACUUUGUAUCAGCUAUGGAUCGCAGAAGGAAUGAUACUCUCGAGUGACAAAAGAGAAGGAGAAACAAUGAUACAAGUGGCCGAAUCAUACAUGGGAGAACUGGUCCAAAGGAGUAUGGUUCAAGUGAGAUUUAACAAUGUGGAAUCAUCACUUACAAAGUUUGAAGAUUGUUCUCUGCACGACCUUAUGAGAGACAUGUCUUUAUUACAAGCCAAAGCAGAAGAUUUUUUUGAAGAAAUACAUUUCCAAAGUGGAAAUGAGUUUCAUCUCAAAUCUACUACAGAGUCAAGGUCAGCUUCCACUCGAGUUGUAAUUCAUUUGGGUGAGGAAUAUUCUAGCAAAAAAGCUAAUUACUACUUUUCCAAGAAACGCAAUGAAAAAUGCUAUCGAUCAAUUUUACUCCUCGGUGAGUUUGGAACAAGAAGUUUGCCAUGGGCGUUGGGUUCACAUGUUGCCAAUUUUAGGUUCCUAAAAGUCUUUUCUGUGGAGAACUAUACCAAUUUUUCUGGUGCAUUUUCUCAUAUUAAUUUUGGAAGAGCAGUAGGGUCCCUUGUUUACUUGCGAUAUCUCAGUUUAAGGGACACUAAUUUGUUGAUUUUUCCAUCUCUACAAAAGUUGGUGCUAUUACAAACUCUAAAAUUGGAUAUAUCCGACAAGAUAUAUGUUUUACCAUGGCUGUCAAGAGAUGUUCUGGUGAAGAUGGAUUGUUUGCGGCAUCUGUAUUUGCCGAAAUUUAAAGUUGACGUUUUGGGAAGGAAAUCGAAAUUACGGUUUAAUAGGUUGAGCAAGUUAGAGACCCUGGAGAACUUUGACACUAGUUGGUGUGAGGUUAAGGAUCUACGUGAACUAAUCAAUCUUCGGAAACUAACGGUAACAGUGAGGGGUAGCUAUGAUAUUCUGGAAGAAAUGAUGAAAAACUUGGAUGAUUUAGCCUCCUCAGCAUCUUCAUGUCUGAGGUGUCGCUAUUGUUUAUUGUGAUAUUGAGCUGAACAAUGAUCUUACGAUCUUAGAACAAUUGGUAUAUGCCGAAAAUUUGAACCUUCGGGAAUUGAAAAUAUAUGGGCGUAUCCCAGAGGUGGGUCUAAUAUUUCCGCUGCAUGUAUCCACAAUUUGUAUUACAACUUUAAAUUUAGGGGAAUCAUACCUGGAAGAAGACCCAAUGCCAAUAUUAGAAAUGCUUCCAGUGUUGCGUGUUCUCUAUAUGUUUGCUGAUACCUAUGUGGGGAAGGAGAUGGUGUGCUCCGCAACCGGUUUUCCUAAACUCACCCAUCUUAUUUUGCACGAGUUCACAAACCUUGAAAAAUGGAGGGUGGAGGAAGGAAGCAUGCCCAUCCUUUCCUACUUGAUUAUUGAAAGAUGUAACAAGUUGGAGGAGCUUCCCGAAGGCCUUGUGUUCCUCAAGUCCCUUAAAAUAACUCAAAUGCCUCAAGAUUUCAAUGAUAGGCUUAAAAGGCAAGAUGGUGAAGAGGGACCCGACUUUCCCAAAAUUUCUCAUGUCCGUAGACUCAUUAUUGAUGAUCAGGACUACAGUUGAAUGUUCUUGUAAGUUAGGUAUAAAGUUUUGUUUUGGUCGUGAAGAACAUAUUGCUUGAGAACUUAUUUGAUCAUUUGCUUCUCAUUAACCUAAUUUUAUAUGAUUAAUAUAUUUUCCAUCAAAAUUAAUACUUUUACUGUUGAAAAUAAUUUAAUUAAUACGCAAAAAUUUUAAAAAAUAAAUUACAAAGUAUACUUUAUAGAAUAUUAAAGGGUUUGCCGAUUCACGUCCCCAACAUAUAUUAAUCAGGACGAUGGAGAGCGUAAUAAUUAAAUAAUUUCAAUAACCGGAUUUUGGACUAUAUAUUUUAGUUUUUGAAUGUUCGGUUAUUUUAUGAUGGUUAUUAAUAUGAGUAAAGAUUUGUAUAAAUUUAUAUUUAAAAAUUUAUGCAACAUGAAGUUAAAUAAAUUAUUUCAAUAAAUAAAUAUAGAUCAUCAUCAUAAUCAUCAUCAUUAUUACUUUUUAUAUUUUGGAACAAUUAUAAUAGUAGGAUUCUUAAACAAUUAUUUAAAAGUUAAACAUUUUAUGCUGAACUCUAAUCCUUUGAAAAAUAAAUAAAAAAUCACUACUUUUUUCAACGAAAAAAAUGUAUGCGUUGAAUUACAUUUGGUUGCAAACUUAAUCUUUUUUCUUGAAAAUUUUACAAAAAAAGUACAUUACUUUUUAGACUCUAAACAUAUGUAAAAAAAAAAGACUCUAAACAUGUGUUUAGAGCUUUAUUCUAAACAGAUUAUUAGUUCCAUACAAUUACGAUCAUCGGACUACUUUUCAGACUAUUAAUUCCAUACAGUUACGAUCAUGAGACUACUUAAAAGAACUACUCCUUUAGAAAAAGGCUCAAAGAACUACUCCUAUAGAAAACGGCUCAGCGUCCUCAGGUUCAUAUUCACACCAUAUUCUCUUGUGAACUAGGGGCACAAUUUUCAUCAUUUUCUGUCUUACAAGCAUGCAAUCUAGUCAUUUGAAAUUGAUCACUUUAAAGACCAUCCUUGUGUCUCGUUCAUUUUCCUUGAGGUGAACAAGAGUUAAACAUAUUCGGAAGCAAUAAAUAUAACAGUCUUAUAACAUAAUAUCGAUUUAUGAUAAUGUUAGACUGCAGAAAAUGAGAGGAAGUAAUUUUUCACUGACCAAUAUGUAAUAAGAUUUCAUGCGAUUGCGGCCAACACAAAAGAGUACAUUGUUUCCCACAUGUUGCCACAAAACACCAAAACUAGGAGACUUCUAACUCUUGACUCCACCCAUUGUUCAAACUUUUUCUUUGUGAUCUUCUCUUUUUUAUAAUAAAACACUUUUGGUUUUUCUUUUCUUUAUGGUUAAACUACAAUAUAUACAGCGUUUAGGAUGGGGAAACUGCUUUCUUCAAGAUGCUGAAGGCAACGAGCAUAAGCAGUGAUAUCAUGAUCUUCUUUGAAGCAAGAAUCCGCAAGUUCACCUUCAUGCCAUGGUCUCUCAUGAGCUUCACUGUUGCCCUAAUUACUGAAAUAAGCCAGAAUACAACGGACAAGAACACCACUUUCAUUGUGUCUGCAGGUCCAUUCACACUUCUUGUGCCUCCCGACACCUCGACAUAGGACCAAGCAGCGCCUUGAUUAUCGGUAGUUCCACUCUGAUUGAGGCCAAGUUUCUCGUUCAACCAACAUGAUAAAGUCACAAGCAGCUUUGCAAGCCAUGCAAUCUCAUCAUUAGAGACUGGUCGCUUCAACCAGUCACCCCUGUAUUUCGUACCGGUUUGCUUCUUGUUGCGUAUCAUUCUAGGACUAAAUAUCUCAUCACGUGGAUGCUGAUUUUCUCUUGUCUCGGGGACUGCUUGUGUGUUCCUUGGAGUAGAGUUACCAAAUAAGCACCCCAUCUGGGCUUUGAUAGAAUCUAAACAAGCCAUAUUGUGAGCAUGAUUAUCUCCCAAGACAGUCUGCAGCUCCGACUCAGCACGCAACACAAAGAGCUGCAAUAACAAUGUGACUAGUGAGUGAGACUUGACAUUUAGAAUGACACCAUUUCAGUUCCUAGAAUUUAUAUAGUUCAUACAGAUAUAUUUAAGUACACUAUAUGCUAAAAGAAGAGAGGGGGAAAUAAACCUGUAGCAGCUGUUGUCCGCCAUCAUCACCAUCACUAAAUAACUGCAAAUCUUUGUUCCAAUUCUCAUGCAAGAAAGAGCCAUCAGCGUCAUUUUCACACAAUCCAUCCUCCCAGUCCUUGUAAAGCAAAAAAGAACAAGGGAUUUACAUAUAAACAUCUGAGCAAGAGUAAAAAAUGCACGCGCGUGCCCACACAAAAGAGAUGCAGAUAUGUCUUUAUACCUGCAGUUGUUCUCUGAUUGAUGGAACAAAUCUGUACAAGUUGUUGUGCAUGGGUUUGGAUGACCCAGAAGGCUUAGAAUGGAAGACAGUGUCCACAUUCUUUAUAAGAUUUAUCAGCUCCCUGGACGAUGUCAAUAUGCUUAAGACCUGCGAAAGAAAUACAAGAAACAUAUACAAAAUAAGCGAAUGGAAACUAUAACGGACUGAUCUUGGGAUAAAAAUACAUACUGAUUAUAAAAGACAAAUUCUCACUGUUACCCUAACUCUUCAUUUUGCCUGAAUUACCCGUGUCGGACACUCAAUACUUGAACAUGGAUAUAGACAGUCCAGCACUUAUUUUAGGUAAAAAAAACACGUAAAUUUUUUUAAAUAUUGCCGAGACCGACACUCGGACACAUAACCAUGUUGAGCCGAGUCCAGGUAACUUAGAUUCCCCAUAUGUAAGCUUACCAGAAGUAUCCCACCGGCGCCCAUAAAUUGAAAGAAGCUCAAAGAAACUAUAAAAGAGGAAUAUAGCAGAUAAUUAUUAAUCUGAUAGCCUUGCAUCAGCUUCCUCUAUAAUUCAACACAAGUAGCUUUCUGUUGUGGUUCAUUCAGAUGUAUCCAUCAAGCAUUUGCCAGGACCAUGGAAGCAAUUUACGCUUCUAUAUAUAGUCUAUGCAAAACCAUGUUGAACAUCACUAACUACAGAACGAUUUGAUUUUAACUCUUAUUUAUCCUCUUGUGUUCUGCUUAUCCAGGUAAAAAAAAUGACUUGGACAAAACAUUUACACAACACAUCUUAAUCAGCACUCACUUAUAAAGGUCUGCCAUAGACAGCAAUCUGAUGCUCCACCAUAACUAAAUUGGUUCUAACUAGCCCUAUGCACUAUAAAAAAAACAAAAACAUUCUUGCUGAGACUUACACUACCCUUUGCAACUUCAUCAAUAAGUACAAACACAAACAAUAUGAAAUCAAGUGAAACAAUCAAAACAUCUGUAGGAUGCCCAGACCACAAUAGCACAUAUAGGUAACACAACAGAAAUCCCAGUACAUGGAAUAAUAGUAGCUUAUCUGCUUAAUGUAAUAAUAUUGUUUACUUUGCAUCUAUUUUGUUCUAAUAUUACAAAUAUAUGUCCAUAGUUUCAAUCUUGUUUCCCUCUGCCUGACCUAAAUCAUUUUCUGUGCAAAAGUAGCAGCUCUGUAUUUUCUCAAUGGUAUCUAAAUUUAUUAAAUUAAGUAAUAUUUAACUCGUUGAUUACUAAACAAUACAGAAAUAACAGUAUGAGAAGGGAACAAAUGUGAAAUGUGCAAAUUGCAACCUUGCACAUCUGGAUGUCUGUAAUAAUGCAAUAUUUCUAUCAAAUAUUAAUGUUUUCUAAUUAAGAUCUGAAAUGUGAAAGUUGCAACCUUACACUUCCACAAUUGGACGUCUUUACUAAUGCGAUAUUUCUAUAAAUCUUAAAGUUUCCUGUUAAGAAUUUUCUAUCUUAAAGUCACAUCCACCUUGUUUCACAUCUAUAUUUUCCAAGUAAAGAAAAGACAGAGUUAGGACUGAAACUAUCCAGUGCAACCCUUAAAUCCCUCAGAGCAACUUAAAUGCCCGAGAUGGAUUACGAACCUAUUAUUCUCAUUAGUGGUUCGAUUACAAACAGAGGAGCCUAUACACUGUAUCAAAAAAGCCACCAAUACACUUAAACUAAUUAUACAAGACUGCCAUAGUGCUAGUGAACCCAAUAGACAGAACAGAAAUGUGUAGAAAAAAAGCUGAUCAGGAAAUCAAACCUUUGAUACCAUCUGUACAAUUGCUUCUGUGUCCGUAUGGAGAAACUUGUGAGCAAAUCCUAGAAAAUGCAUAACCAAGGAACUAUAGAACAAAUAGUUGAUCAACACAAAGCCUUGCCAGGAACUAGAAUAUCCACUUGAAGAAGACUGUACUUCCUUUUUAGUACCAUUGCUCGACACCCCAGCAUUUACAUCUAGACCAGAAAAAUCUUCAGAGCUAAUGUUCCAAGGUUCUAUGUAGUUAAUCCAAAGGGAAAACACCUGAGAUGCAUUCUUGAUAGAAGUCUCCAUUGGGCAAUAUAUAAACGUCCUCAAUAUAAACCGGUACAAUGGCCUCUUAAUCAAUGCAUUCCAAGAACCAACAGAACGAUUACC